rnacentral:rRNA from 1 species
CAGUCGCCGCGGUAAUACGUAGGGGGCAAGCGUUAUCCGGAAUUACUGGGUGUAAAGGGAGCGUAGACGGUUAAACAAGUCUGAAGUGAAAUGCCGGGGCUCAACCCCGGAGCUGCUUUGGGAACUGUAGAACUGGAGUGUCGGAGGGGUAAGCGGAAUUCCCAGUGUAGCGGUGAAAUGCGUAGAUAUUGGGAGGAACACCGGCGGCGAAGGCGGCUUACUGGACGACAACUGACGUUGAGGCUCGAGGGCGUGGGUAGCAAACUGGAUUAGAUACCCCUGUAGUCCCUGUCUCUUAUAC